rnacentral:rRNA from 1 species
CCCUUAGAUGUCCUGGGCGGCCCGCGCGCUACAAUGUCAGCUACUGAAGGUUGAUGCUUUGAAAGAGAGCGCGCUCUCCUUUUAAUUGCUCGCAUGCUGGGAUAAAUGAAUGCAAUUUUGUUUUGAACGAGGAAUUCCUAGUAGCCAUGUUUCACUAGAAGAUGGCGAAUGCGUCCCUGCCCUUUGUACACACCGCCCGUCGCUCCUACCGAUGAGCGUUUUGGCGAAGACGGUUUGAGUAGCUGCGUAAUUUCGUGUUGUUGACUCCGGCAGUUUGAGCCUUCACGUUUAGAGGAAGGAGAAGUCGUAACA